CUUUCCAUCUUGUUUGAGCCUGCUGUCCUGCCAGCUCACCCCUGGGCUCAUUUCGCAGUCUUCUGGACUGUAAUCUCUCUUUCCCCCCGGCGUUCUGCUGCCAGAUCUGCCUGAAAUGCUGCUUUUGCAUGAAAAUACCAGCCUGCCAUCUCAACAAGAAGAUGUCUUUCUGCAAACCAGGAAAAGAGCCCUCACCAGCCAUCAGAUCUGCUGGCACCUUGAACUUGGACUUCCCAGCCUCCAGGACUGU
rnacentral:lncRNA from 1 species